rnacentral:rRNA from 1 species
CCUACGGGUGGCAGCAGUAGGGAAUAUUGGACAAUGGAGGCAACUCUGAUCCAGCCAUCCCGCGUGAAGGAUUAAGGUCCUAUGGAUUGUAAACUUCUUUUCUCUGGGAAUAAAAACUCCGUUUCUACGGAGCUUGAAGGUACCAGAGGAAUAAGCACCGGCUAACUCCGUGCCAGCAGCCGCGGUAAUACGGAGGGUGCAAGCGUUAUCGGGAUUCACUGGGGCGUAAGGGAGCGUAGGUGGCUGUGGUGAAAUGUCGCAGAUUAACUGCGAAACUGCCAGUGAUACUGUUUAGCUUGAAUCAAGUUGAGGUGGAUGGAAUAUUACAUGUAGCGGUGAAAUGCUUAGAUAUGUAAUAGAACACCAAUUGCGAAGGCAGUUCACUAAACUUGUAUUGACACUGAGGCUCGAAAGCGUGGGGAUCAAACAGGAUUAGAUACCCCGGUAGUC